rnacentral:rRNA from 1 species
CGGGUGCGUAACGCGUAUGCAAUCUACCUUGUACAGGGAGAUAGCCCGGAGAAAUCCGGAUUAAUAUCCCAUAGUAUACUUAAAUGGCAUCAUUUAAAUAUUAAAGAUUUAUCGGUACAAGAUGAGCAUGCGUCCCAUUAGCUAGUUGGUAUGGUAACGGCAUACCAAGGCAAUGAUGGGUAGGGGUCCUGAGAGGGAGAUCCCCCACACUGGUACUGAGACACGGACCAGACUCCUACGGGGGGCAGCAGUGAGGAAUAUUGGUCAAUGGAGGCAACUCUGAACCAGCCAUGCCGCGUGCAGGAUGACGGUCCUAUGGAUUGUAAACUGCUUUUAUACAGGAAGAAACCCUGCCACGUGUGGUAGAUUGACGGUACUGUAAGAAUAAGGAUCGGCUAACUCCGUGCCAGCAGCCGCGGUAAUACGGAGGAUCCAAGCGUUAUCCGGAAUCAUUGGGUUUAAAGGGUCCGUAGGCGGUUAAAUAAGUCAGUGGUGAAAUCCGGCAGCUCAACUGUCGCACUGCCAUUGAUACUGUUUAACUUGAAUUAUUGUGAAGUAACUAGAAUAUGUAGUGUAGCGGUGAAAUGCUUAGAGAUUACAUGGAAUACCAAUUGCGAAGGCAGGUUACUAACAAUCAAUUGACGCUGAUGGACGAAAGCGUGGGGAGCGAACAGGAUUAGAUACCCUGGUAGUCCACGCC